rnacentral:rRNA from 1 species
AUUGAACGCUGGCGGCAUGCCUUACACAUGCAAGUCGAACGGCAGCACGGGGGCAACCCUGGUGGCGAGUGGCGAACGGGCGAGUAAUGCAUCGGAACGUGCCCAGUAGUGGGGGAUAACCAGUCGAAAGACUGGCUAAUACCGCAUACGACCCAAGGGUGAAAGCGGGGGACCGUAAGGCCUCGCGCUAUUGGAGCGGCCGAUGUCUGAUUAGCUAGUUGGCGGGGUAAGAGCCCACCAAGGCGACGAUCAGUAGCUGGUCUGAGAGGACGACCAGCCACACUGGGACUGAGACACGGCCCAGACUCCUACGGGAGGCAGCAGUGGGGAAUUUUGGACAAUGGGCGCAAGCCUGAUCCAGCCAUGCCGCGUGCGGGAAGAAGGCCUUCGGGUUGUAAACCGCUUUUGGCAGGAACGAAACGGCGCAAGCCAAUACCUUGCGCUAAUGACGGUACCUGCAGAAUAAGCACCGGCUAACUACGUGCCAGCCGCCGCCGUAACAC